rnacentral:lncRNA from 1 species
GUACUAGAUUUCAGGAAAUUAUAAGCGACACGAGCCUCAAUUACUCAAUUAUCGAAACACACAAAAAGAUCACCGAAAUCUACAACAAAUCAACAAUUUGUAAAUAAAUUAAAAGAGUUUUGAAUCCCACACCUGAUUUGCAAUCAAAGACGUUUAGACAUCGGCUCGACGACAAGGAAACGACUCUCCAAAAUCCACAAGAAAAAUCGUUUUCAAAGAAAAAUAAAUAAGAACAAAACGAAAGAAAAAAAAUAAAGAAAGGGGAAGAGGAGAACAUCCAGAGAAAAGAAAAAAUAAUCCCAAAAUAAAAAUGACAAUCAAUAGUUAUAUAUUUUAACUUAAAACAAAACGGCUACUUAACAAAACAAAAUGAAAUAAAAAUGUUUCUCCAAAACGCACACACAAAGACUCGAACCCAAAAC